GCGGGCGUAGCUCAGUUGGUAGAGCAUCAGCCUUCCAAGCUGAGGGUCGCGAGUUCGAGUCUCGUCGCCCGCUCCA
rnacentral:tRNA from 3 species